UACAGAGGGGGCAAGCGUUGUUCGGAAUUACUGGGCGUAAAGGGCGCGUAGGCGGCCUGCUAAGUCGAACGUGAAAUCCCUGGGCUCAACCCAGGAACUGCGUCCGAUACUGGUUGGCUUGAAUCCGGGAGAGGGAUGUGGAAUUCCAGGUGUAGCGGUGAAAUGCGUAGAUAUCUGGAGGAAUACCGGUGGCGAAGGCGGCGUUCUGGACCAUUACUGACACUGAAUCGCGAAAGCUAGGGGAGCAAACGGG
rnacentral:rRNA from 1 species